CUGGGAAGCAGAGCACAGGAAGCAUACCGGCUCAGAAAGGGGCAAGGCACCAGACAUAACUAAUGGUCAGGUCUCUCUGACUCACCUGGAUACACCUCAAAGUGUGCUCCAUCAAUCCCCAAUGAGGAUUGCAAUAGCAAUCAAUUUGAAAUUAUACUCUGCUAUACUCCUUGUUAGGGUUGAUGCACUGUGUCAACUUGAGGAGUCUAGAGGCUUGACUAAGUGACUCAGCAGUUCAACAUGCUGAGGUGAAAAGGACACACCCUUACUGCUCUGGAAUGUUGUUCAUUGUGUCAAGGUUGACUUCGCUAUUUUCUAGAGAUGGCAAGACAAGACAUUGGAAAUACAAGAUGCAGAUAUUGGACACUGACACUGUUUCACUCAUAAAUAAGUUACCAACAAGUAAAUCUAAAAUUGUAGUGUGGAAAGUGAUGUGGAAAAAAAAAAUCUUACUUUGUGUCAUGUAGCAGUGAUCUAAUGCUAACAUUUUCUGGAGUUUUCUGGAGCAAAGAAUGGCUCACCAAGUUUGAAAUAAAUAAAAACUAAUUAGGCAAAAUAGGAGUUUAAAUAGGUUAUUGAAAGAGAAUUUAAAAACAAAGCAGAGACUAAAGUGACAUUAAACUGAAGAGGUAGGGAAAAAAUAUUCAAAGCAUUGC
rnacentral:lncRNA from 1 species